rnacentral:rRNA from 1 species
CCUGGUGGUAAUGGCGAGGACGAAACACCCGAUCCCAUCCCGAACUCGGCCGUGAAACCAGACUGCGCCGAUGGUACUGUGGCUCAAGCCCCGGAAGAGUAGGUCGUCGCCAGGC